rnacentral:rRNA from 1 species
GAUGAACGCUAGCUAUAGGCUUAACACAUGCAAGUCGAGGGGUAACAAGGAGAGAGCUUGUUCUUUCUGUGGACGACCGGCGCACGGGUGAGUAACACGUAUCCAACCUACCGUAUACACUGGGAUAGCUCUUCGAAAGAAGGAUUAAUACUAGAUGUUAAGAUGUUCUCGCCUGGGAAUAUCUUCAAAGAUUUAUCGGUAUACGAUGGGGAUGCGUUCCAUUAGACAGUUGGUGAGGUAACGGCUCACCAAAUCGACGAUGGAUAGGGGUUCUGAGAGGAAGAUCCCCCACAUUGGAACUGAGACACGGUCCAAACUCCUACGGGAGGCAGCAGUGAGGAAUAUUGGUCAAUGGACGCGAGUCUGAACCAGCCAAGUAGCGUGAAGGAAGACUGCCCUAUGGGUUGUAAACUUCUUUUGUUAGGGAAUAAAGUGCGCCACGUGUGGUGUUUUGUAUGUACCUAACGAAUAAGGAUCGGC